UUUGGUCUUUUGAAUUUGAAUAUUUUAGACAGAGUGGUUUGCGGGGGAAUAAGCGUGAAGAGGGUGUAAGGUGAUAACUGAGUCCAAAAGAGUGAAGAAAGGAGGAAAUGCCAUGUACAGAUGGUGAGAAAGGAAUGACAUCAAAUUGUUUCAAAAGAGAAAGUGGGAAACAAAACUUAGGGGGGAGUUUUGAAAAUGGUUAAUAUAAGAAACAAUUUCGAGAAAUGUGUGGUUAGUGGGGAAGGGUAUAUAUAUGAAGAGGAGCAGGAGGUCUGGAAUUGGUGAAGGUGAGAUUUCAAUUCAAUGUGUGUAGAUUUUUUGUUAUAUAUUGGGGGCUUGGUUGUUAGUUUUAUCAAGUAAAGUUUUCUUUUUUGGUCGAAGUUGUUCAGCUAGAUUUUGAAUGAUUUUUCUGGAAUUUGUUUGAUCUCUGUAGAAUUGAAAUCUGCAACAUUGUUUAGGAAUAGUUAAAUAGGACAAUUGAUCUGAAUUUAAAGCUAAUUAUUCAUUUAGAAGUUUGUAAUUUGAUAUUAAUUUUGUAUGUUGUGGUUAUAGAGUGGGUAUUGUUUCAGACAUCCAUUUUCUUAUUAGAAGUCUGACUGGUUUUUGGCAAGUUUAUUGGGUAUAUUUGAUUUGGUGGAUUGUUUUUCUUCCAAUCGACGUUGUUAUUAAUGUAAUUUUAACAUGCUUAUUCAUUUAUAUUUUUCAUCAUUGUAUGAAGUUUGGAUGAGAUAGAAAAGCUACCUGAAGAUGAAGACCAGCACGAGCAUGAACAUCAAACUAAUAAAAAACGGCAACGAAAAUGCCAUUCUCAUCCCUAAUCAUCUUAUUCGGAAAAAUGUGAAAUAAUUGAAAAUAAAAAUGGACCUAUGUCUCGCAAUGAUUACAUUCAGAAGAUAAGGUAGUUAUCUUUUUUUCAAGAAAAAGAGAAAAUUACAUCUUACACUGAAAUUGUGCUAUUUGUUUAUCGUUGUGAGCAGGAAAGAAGCUUGUUCUUAGAAGCCUUAUGUGGAAUUAUCUGUUGAUGUUAUGGAAAUUGAGAAAUAUCUUUGUUUUGGCAUAUUUUUUAAUAGGUUUCUUAUAAUUUUUAUUAUUUUUUUUCUCCUUGCCUGUUUUAAUUUCUGUCUGUUGUCGGGAACUUGUAGUUCUGCUAUUGUCCAUUAGGUAGCAUAUGGUAGUAAGAUUUUCUGCGAUAUUCAGCGUGUUAGUAAAAUUCAGUACUUGUUAUGAUUUGGUUUUGGCAUAAUUCAUGCUUUAUUUACUUAACCUGAGUUAUUUUGUUUGAGAAUUUAGGUGAUGAAAGUAGUUCCUCAGAAUGUGAAGAAAAACAAGAUUGACCAAAUUCUGGUUAAUGUCCCGAUCUUUUGUUUCUAAUAUUAAUUUUCUUUUGCUCUAAUCAAGUAAAGUUCAUUCGAUUGUCAUAGUAUGAAUAUGACAAUUUGGGAAACUUGAUGAUUUCCCUUGUUAGAUUGUCAUAGUGUGAUUAUGUUGUAUGGCCAGACAUCCUGUUUGUGCUAACUCUUUUAUGUGGUCCUUUGAGGUUAUGAAAAUGGACUUGAUUGAGUAAAGAGCGGAAGUGAACAACGUUUUCCUUUUCUUGGAGAACCUAUUUGGGUAAUAUGUGGUAAAUUUGGAGAAUAUAUAUGCAAUGAGGUAGGAAUUUAAGGACAUGUGUAGUUAAAGUUUUCAUCUCUUGUAUUUCUAUUUCUUCAAGUUCGAUCAUCGGUCUUUGGUAUUGGUACUUGUUGAUAGACUAAUGACAAUGUCUGCAGCAUGGAGUGCAAACGUGAGCUUUUAGAAAUUAGUAAUGCUACAAAGGUAAUCAAUGCGCAAAAUUUAUUUUAGCAAUUAAAAAUUACUGCUUUCAAAAUUGUAAAGCCUUUCAAAUUACUACAUUAGGAACCUUCAUGGACCCAAAGAGCAGAUGUCGUCUCGUAGGAGCUUAAAAAUACCUUACCCAUGUCUGAGAUUGAAGAGGACACUUGGGAUUUCAAUAGGAAUUCCUAGACAAGGAAAUAAUCUUAGCUUUGUACUUAUGAACAGUAUGCUUAUGAGUGUUGUAUUUACAAAUCAGUUAUCCAAAGUACUUGUGAAGGUUCUCAUUUAUGGAUGGCUGAGAAUAUAUUGGCAUACCCUUCUACAAUGAAAUUAAUGGCCUAAAAGAUUACGUGGUGGGGUUGGUGGGGAAAUAAGGAAUUCACAGCUAUAAGAAAUGUUGUUUUCCUAUUUGAAGCACAACAUUAAUAUUUGCAUCUGAAACUCUAAAUUAUCUUGUAGUUGGAAAUCUCAAAGACUUGGAGACCUUGCUAAGAUUGUUUGGUUAUGAAAUCUAAUGAGACAUUUGAAGAGAAAAAUUAAGCUAGUUCCCUUUCCAGAGAUCUUGUUGAACUGUACAAAAGGGUCGGUGGUAGAGAGGGCGCUAUGAUUGGCCCCAUUCAUAAUGAAAAUGAAGGCUCAUUUUGUGUACAUGGUAAAACCUCUGGUUUGAUGUCCUUCCGCUAAAAAUGUUUCGUAUAUAUUAACGAAAGUAGUUGUAGACAUUUAAUUUUGUUGCAUUUUAGUUUUGGAAUCUAAAUGAAUUCGUUUAUUUUUUAAAAUGUAGGCACUGAAGUAGAGGGCAGUAGAGUAUUAAGCACAUAUUUUGUCAGAUAGGUAAAUGCCUGAUUGGUUCGCGAUUAGAAAACUGUAUUUUUUAUAAGUGAGAUUCUGAAAUGAAAAUCUGAAUUUAGUUACUAAAAAUAUGUUUCUGAAAAUGUGAUUGGUUCAAUAUUAGGAAAUUGUUUUUGAGUUUUAAAAAACUGAAUCUGUGAUUGGUAUUAAAUUUGAAAAUAUA